AACGAACGCUGGCGGCAUGCCUAACACAUGCAAGUCGAACGAGACCUUCGGGUCUGUGGCGCACGGGUGCGUAACGCGUGGGAAUCUGCCCUUGGGUUCGGAAUAACAGUGAGAAAUUACUGCUAAUACCGGAUGAUGUCUUCGGACCAAAGAUUUAUCGCCCAGGGAUGAGCCCGCGUAGGAUUAGCUAGUUGGUGGGGUAAUGGCCUACCAAGGCGACGAUCCUUAGCUGGUCUGAGAGGAUGAUCAGCCACACUGGGACUGAGACACGGCCCAGACUCCUACGGGAGGCAGCAGUAGGGAAUAUUGGACAAUGGGCGCAAGCCUGAUCCAGCAAUGCCGCGUGAGUGAUGAAGGCCUUAGGGUUGUAAAGCUCUUUUACCCGGGAUGAUAAUGACAGUACCGGGAGAAUAAGCUCCGGCUAACUCCGUG
rnacentral:rRNA from 1 species